AGACAGAUGUUUUUGGUUUUUGUUUUCCCUUGAAUUGUAUUAUUUUGGGUAUUUGUUUAACUUUUUCUAAAAAAGUUCCAAUGACAAGGCCACUGCCGAUAAAGAUCUAAACAGUUUAACCUGGGAACUAACUUGCAGUUAACCAUUAUCAGAUCAAUCGAUGUGAUUUCGUUUGGCAGGGCCCCCUAAUUGCCUUGAAAAACCGAUUUUACAAGCUUUUAAUCAUAAUCAUAAUCCUUUUUUAUUUAAUAUUUUGCUAUCAAUGAAUUGAGCAACCCAACCUUAUAUAUUUUAAGCUUCAGUUAAAUUAAGAAUAACUUUCUGGGCACCCAAUAUAUAUUUCAUGCAUAUAUUCCAUCCCCCCACGUUAAUUUAAACACCGAUUAACAUCCACUCAUUUGAAUAAUUUUGUAUUUGUAUAUUUGCAAUUAAAUGACUAUUAAAUAUCUUUA